AGAGUUUGAUCAUGGCUCAGAAUGAACGCUGGCGGCACGCUUAACACAUGCAAGUCGAACGAGAUCUUCGGAUCUAGUGGCAGACGGGUGAGUAACGCGUGGGAACCUGCCCAGUAGUAGAGAAUAACUUGGGGAAACUUAAGCUAAUACUUUAUACGUCCUUCGGGAGAAAGCUUUAUGCGCUAUUGGAUGGGCCCGCGUUAGAUUAGUUUGUUGGUGAGGUAACGGCUCACCAAGGCGACGAUCUAUAGCUGGUCUGAGAGGAUGAUCAGCCACACUGGGACUGAGACACGGCCCAGACUCCUACGGGAGGCAGCAGUGGGGAAUAUUGGACAAUGGGGGCAACCCUGAUCCAGCGAUGCCGCGUGAGUGAUGAAGGCCCUAGGGUUGUAAAACUCUUUCGUCAGGGAAGAUAAUGACGGUACCUGAAGAAGAAGAUCCGGCUAACUCCGUGCCAGCAGCCGCGGUAAUACGGAGGGGUCUAGCGUUAUUCGGAAUUACUGGGCGUAAAGCGAGCGUAGGCGGAUUUGUAAGUUGGAGGUGAAAUCCCAGAGCUUAACUCUGGAACUGCCUUCAAAACUACAUUUCUUGAGUUUGGUAGAGGAGAGUGGAAUUCCUAGUGUAGAGGUGAAAUUCGUAGAUAUUAGGAGGAACACCAGUGGCGAAGGCGACUCUCUGGGCCAAUACUGACGCUGAGGUUCGAAAGCAUGGGUAGCGAACAGGAUUAGAUACCCUGGUAGUCCAUGCAGUAAACGAUGAGUGCUAGAUGUUGGGAAUUUAAAUUUCCAGUAUCGCAGUUAACGCGUUAAGCACUCCGCCUGGGAAGUACGGCCGCAAGGCUAAAACUCAAAUGAAUUGACGGGGACCCGCACAAGCGGUGGAUCAUGUGGUUUAAUACGAAGAUACGCGAAGAACCUUACCGGCC
rnacentral:rRNA from 1 species